rnacentral:lncRNA from 1 species
AUAAAUUCCUAAAACCUAAAUCUAAAAUCAGUUUUCACCUUUUUACUUAUAUCUAAAACAAAUCCAUUUCUACAACAAUUAGAUCUAUAAUAUCAAUAUAUUAGAUUUAUUCAAAACUUUCUAUAUAAUAAAAGAACUUAUAAUAUAGGAUUUUACUUCUUUUAAUACUAAAGAUUGUACCAUUAGAUAUAGAUUAAUAUAAAUAUUAUAUAUUAGUCUUAAAUUAGCUUCAUAAGUCUUUCCUAGCUAAA